CUUAGAAUACGUGCACUUUUGGCCUUUCAGCUUUUAGAAAAUUAAUUAUCUCCAAACACACAUUAACAAUCAUUGAUACACUCAUUAAUUUGUCUUGAAAUAAAGUAUGAUAGUAGGCCCAAUUGCAUGACAUGGAAUGGAAGCGUUUUAAAGUCAAUUCUGUGACUUACUGGAAGCCAAUGCAUUUCGUUUCAGACUACUGGUUGACAGGCCUCAAUGGACAGUGAGACAGUGAUCUACAUUUGGACUGGCACCGACCAGACAUGGACACUGAAACUUGAUUUCUCAUGAAUAUCUUUACAAGAUGCAACACACAUUGUGGAACACUUUAGACACUAAUAAACAUGUCCACUGUUUUCUCUGGAA